AACGAACGCUGGCGGCAUGCCUAACACAUGCAAGUCGAACGAGACCUUCGGGUCUAGUGGCGCACGGGUGCGUAACGCGUGGGAACCUGCCCUUAGGUUCGGAAUAACUCCCCGAAAGGGGUGCUAAUACCGGAUAAUGUCUUCGGACCAAAGAUUUAUCGCCUUUGGAUGGGCCCGCGUUGGAUUAGCUAGUUGGUAGGGUAAAAGCCUACCAAGGCGACGAUCCAUAGCUGGUCUGAGAGGAUGAUCAGCCACACUGGGACUGAGACACGGCCAGACUCCUACGGGAAGCAGCAGUGGGGGAUAUUGGACAAUGGGCGAAAGCCUGAUCCAGCAAUGCCGCGUGAGUGAUGAAGGCCUUAGGGUUGUAAAGCUCUUUUACCCGGGAUGAUAAUGACAGUACCGGGAGAAUAAGCUCCGGCUAACUCCGUG
rnacentral:rRNA from 1 species